rnacentral:lncRNA from 10 species
CUGACACCAAAGCGCCACGUCACAACGGAUGCGCAAUCACUAUUUUAUGUGAGUGCAGAUUUGUAUUAAAACCGGAAAGCAUGGACACCCAGACAGCUUACUGUCAAUGACUGUACUAUUCACUGUCUUCAACAAAAGUCAGCUAUUCCAGGAAACUCUCGUCCAGAAAGAUAAAAAUUGAGAAUGAGACAUCAAUCAAUAUGCGGAAGAUUUACAUGGUUCGGUCUGGAAGGGUGGGACAAUUCGAAGGGUGAGGAGAGAAGAGGAGCUUCCGGGUCAUAGGUGGUCAGGAAGAAGUCAAAUCUUCUAGAGGAGAAUCAACCACUGACCUACCAGAAUCCACCAUGGACCUGGAGUCACCCACAGAUGUGUACCUGGAGAACACCCAGGCUUUCCAAAAUGAAGCAAAUUCUCCAUUAGCUGUGAUGAUCACUGCUAUCCACUACUUUCUAAGAAGAUUCUAUGCUUUUGAGCAUGCCUACCACUACACUAUAGGAGAUCUAUUGUAGAAGACUAGAAAAACAUAGGAUGUGCCCAGCUGAGGCAUUGAUCCUGGCUGGGUAGGGGGAAUUGUUCAGGGAUGGGGAAGGGGCACUUCUUAGCUGUGUCUCAUCGAGUACGGGCUCAAUAAAUAAUUGAAUUUUGAGAGUGGUUCUUAUUUUAUGAGAGAAGAAUUGCUUAAUUGUAUUAAGACCUAUGAUAAAUUUAUUUCUCUCUGAUACUUUAUAAACAGGCAUCAAUACUUUACAGGGGCCACAGGAAAACAUGAAAUGAGUUUGUGGGAAGUAAGUUAGUUUUUCUAUUGCUGUGAUAAUAGAUUACCACAAACUUAGUGGCUUAAAUGAGCACGAAUUUAUUAACUUAGUUUUGUGGUUCACAUGUCUGAAAUGAGUCUCACAGGAUUAGAUCCUUGUAUCAAUGCUGAGCUGCAUUCUAGAAGCUUUAGAGAAGAAUUCCAUUUUUUCAUUCAUAUUCCUUGACCUCUUUCCAGCAAUGGCCAGAUGAGCCUCCCGUCACAUCACAUUGUCUGGUACUGACUCGUCUGCCUCCAUCUUCCACAUUUAAGGACCUUUUAAUUAAUUACAUUGGGUCCAUCUGGAUAAUCCAGGAUAAUUUCUCUAUGUUAAAGUCAGUUGAUUGGCAAAUGUAAUUCCUCUUCCCAUAUAAUUCAACAUAUUCAGUGGUUCUGGGAAUUAGUUGUGUGUCUUUGAGAGGCCAUUAUUCUUCAUAGCACACACAAGGUAGACAUCUUAAUCCUCUAGAACUGGUUUGGUUCAAGUAGUGGGUAGACACAGCUUUUUUUUUUUUAGGUUUAUACACUAGAUUUUUGCAAAAGGGUAUGAGUUGGUAUCGCACAUAUUCAUACUUUGCAGUACGUAUAUGCGAACAUGUAAAUGAAAAACUAAAAUGGCAGAAAUUUUGUUUGAAUUUGCCUGCAUUUAUAAAUUGGGAGUGAUGAAUUUUUAGAGUAGGAUGUGGACUCGGGAGUGGGGAGGAAUGCUUUCUAAUUGUAGUCUCUCAUUGUGGUCACUUAUGAACUCCACCUUCCUCUUAGAAAAUGAGGCAGUUAUACCAAUUCGAUUUGAAAGUUUUUUUUUGUUCUUUAAUAUAUAUCCUCAAAUAAAUACACCGAUGUUUGCAAUCAUUA